CAAACAUCCAUUGGAAAAAAUGAAAAUGACUCUGAGCCUAUAUCAUGGUUAGGCAUAGAAUCUGUCAUGUGGAUUCUGCAAUCACAUCCAAGUUAAUCCACCUGCUCUUGGUAGUUUAGGAGGUGCUUCAUUUUCAUAUCUCAUCUUACAGGUGUACAUUAGGUCUUGAUAAGAGUUUCUCAUCUUGUGUUCCAGGUUUUGGCAUGAGGGAGUAACCUCCCUGAUCUCCCUGGUUCCUCUAGCAUCACAAGGCAGAAGCAGCAGCAUCUCUUCCAUCUGCUGUAGUGAGGAAAUAAAAAAAUAUUUAUUGAGCACGAGUGAUGUUCCAGGCGUGGUUUUUGGUGCUAGCAGGAGAGAAAACAAUACCUGUGGCCUAAAGAGCUCAACCUGACCUGAAGAACUCAAGGGAAUCUUGAACUUGAGUGGGGCAGAAAAUGCAGUUUCAUUUUCACUAAACUUGCAAAAAUGUAGCAUUUUCUUCAAUUAUGAAUUUAGGCAGCAAACCACAAUAGUAUUAGCAGUGCCUGUGGCUUUGUUAU
rnacentral:lncRNA from 1 species